rnacentral:rRNA from 1 species
UACGAAGGGGGCUAGCGUUGUUCGGAAUUACUGGGCGUAAAGGGCGCGUAGGCGGUGUGUCAAGUCAGGCGUGAAAGCCCCGGGCUCAACCUGGGAAUUGCGAUGGAGACUGCAAGGCUAGAAUCUGGCAGAGGGGGGUAGAAUUCCACGUGUAGCAGUGAAAUGCGUAGAGAUGUGGAGGAACACCGAUGGCGAAGGCAGCCCCCUGGGUCAAGAUUGACGCUCAUGCACG